CCCAGACUCCUACGGGAGGCAGCAGUGGGGGAUAUUGCACAAUGGGGGGAACCCUGAUGCAGCGACGCCGCGUGGGUGAAGGAGCGUUUCGGCGCGUAAAGCCCUAUCGGCAGGGAAGAAGGAGGACGGUACCUGACUAAGAAGCCCCGGCUAACUACGUGCCAGCAGCCGCGGUAAUACGUAGGGGGCAAGCGUUAUCCGGAUUUACUGGGUGUAAAGGGGGCGCAGACGGCAGCGCAAGCCAGGAGUGAAAGCCCGGGGCCCAACCCCGGGACUGCUCUUGGAACUGCGCGGCUGGAGUGCAGGAGGGGCAGGCGGAAUUCCUGGUGUAGCGGUGAAAUGCGUAGAUAUCAGGAGGAACGCCGGUGGCGAAGGCGGCCUGCUGGACUGCGACUGACGUUGAGGCCCGAAAGCGUGGGGAGCAAACAGGAUUAGAUACCCGGGUA
rnacentral:rRNA from 1 species